rnacentral:lncRNA from 1 species
AUGUAAAGCCUCUGUUAAUACUUUUCCUGUUAACAACCUAACUAUUCAACUGCUGAAUAAAAACCAUUAGGACAACUAAAGUAACAGAAACUGAGAGAUUUUAGCAAGAAAUAGUCAUUCCAAUAUCAAUGACUACAGAGGAAAUGCAAUUAAUUUUCUUUGCUUAAGUUUUCCAGGGCCUUUCUCUGUUGCCCAGGCUGGGGUGCAGUGAGGCAAUCUUGGCUCACCACAAUCUCUCCCUCCUGGAUUCAAGCAAUUCUCCUGCCUCAGCCUCCCGAGUAGCUGGGAUUACAGGCACGCACCACUAC